CCUACGGGUGACAGCAGUGAGGAAUAUUGGUCAAUGGGCGCGAGCCUGAACCAGCCAAGUAGCGUGAAGGAUGACUGCCCUACGGGUUGUAAACCUCUUUUAUCAAGGAAUAAAGUGCGGCACGUGUGCCUUUUUGUAUGUACUUUAUGAAUAAGGAUCGGCUAACUCCGUGCCAGCAGCCGCGGUAAUACGGAGGAUCCGAGCGUUAUCCGGAUUUAUUGGGUUUAAAGGGAGCGUAGAUGGGAUGUUAAGUCAGUUGUGAAAGUUUGUGGCUCAACCGUAAAAUUGCAAUUGAUACUGGCUGUCUUGAGUACAGUUGAGGUAGGCGGAAUUCGUGGUGUAGCGGUGAAAUGCUUAGAUAUCACGAAGAACUCCGAUUGCGAAGGCAGCUUACUAAACUGCCACUGACAUUGAUGCUCGAAAGUGUGGGUAUCAAACAGGAUUAGAUACCCGGGUAGUC
rnacentral:rRNA from 1 species